UCGCAGGUGGUCGGUAAAGACACGUGGGA
rnacentral:piRNA from 1 species